rnacentral:rRNA from 1 species
AUGGUCGGCCUUCUCCCCCAGACCAAUGCGGCGGCGCAGGCCGAGGUCCUCGGCGACGCGUGGGACUACCGCGGCCGCCCCGCCGCCCGGUCCACCACCGGCCGCUGGGGCGCCGCCUCCAUGAUCCUGGUGGCGGAGCUCAACGAGAGGCUCACCACGCUGGGGAUCGCGGUCAACCUGGUCACGUACCUCACGGCCACGAUGCACGUCGGCAACGCAGAGGCGGCCAACGUCGUCACAAACUUCAUGGGCACCUCCUUCAUGCUCUGCCUCCUCGGCGGCUUCGUCGCCGACUCCUUCCUCGGCCGCUACCUCACCAUCGCCAUCUUCACCGCCAUCCAGGCAUCCGGCGUGACGAUCCUGACGAUCUCAACGGCGGCGCCGGGGCUGCGGCCGCCGGCGUGCACGGCGGAGGGCGGCGGGAUAGGGACCUGCUCCCGCGCUUCGGGCGCCCAGCUGGGCGUGCUGUACCUGGCGCUGUACCUGACGGCUCUGGGCACCGGCGGGCUCAAGUCGAGCGUCUCCGGCUUCGGGUCGGACCAGUUCGACGAGUCGGACCGCACCGAGAAGUCGCAGAUGAUGCGCUUCUUCAACUGGUUCUUCUUCUUCAUCAGCCUCGGCUCCCUGCUCGCCGUCACCGUGCUCGUCUACGUCCAGGACAACCUGGGCCGGCCCUGGGGCUACGGCGCCUGCGCUGUCUCCAUCGCCGCCGGGCUGGUGGUGUUCCUCGCCGGCACCCGCAGGUACCGGUUCAAGAAGCUGGCCGGGAGCCCGCUGACCCAGAUCGCCGCCGUGGUCGUGGCCGCGUGGCGCAAGCGCGGCGUCCAGCUGCCCGCCGACACCUCCAUGCUCUACGACAUCGACGUGGGCAAGGUGGCAGCCAUCGAGGGGGCCUCGACCAAGAAGAGCAAGCUCAAGGAGCGCAUCCCGCACACCAAGCAGUUCCGUUUCUUGGACCAUGCGGCGAUCAACUCGGACCCCGCUGGCGAGCCGACCAAGUGGCAGCUUGCGACGCUGACGGACGUGGAGGAGGUCAAGACGGUGGCGCGGAUGCUUCCGAUAUGGGCGACGACCAUCAUGUUCUGGACGGUGUACGCGCAGAUGACCACCUUCUCGGUGUCGCAGGCCACCACCAUGGACCGCCACAUCGGCCCCUCCUUCCAGAUCCCGGCGGGCUCCCUCACCGUCUUCUUCGUCGGCUCCAUCCUCCUCACCGUCCCCAUCUACGACCGCAUCGUCGUGCCCGUAUCCCGCCGCCUCAACGGCAACCCGCACGGGCUCACCCCGCUCCAGCGGAUCGGCAUCGGCCUCGUGCUCUCCAUCCUCGCCAUGACCUCCGCCGCUCUCGUAGAGGUCAAGCGCCUCCGCGUGGCUCGGGACUCCGCAGUCCCGGCGGGCGCCCCCGUGCCCAUGACGGUCUUCUGGCUCAUCCCGCAGUUCUUUUUUGUCGGCGCCGGCGAGGCCUUCACCUACAUCGGCCAGCUCGACUUCUUCCUGCGCGAGUGCCCCAAGGGGAUGAAGACCAUGAGCACGGGGCUCUUCCUCAGCACGCUCUCGCUCGGAUUCUUCGUCAGCUCGGCGCUCGUCACCGUCGUGCACAAGAUCACGGGUGACCGCCGGCCGUGGAUCGCCGACGACCUCAACAAGGGCGAGCUCUACAAGUUCUACUGGCUCCUCGCGGGGGUCUGCCUCGCCAACCUCGUCGUCUACCUCUUCGCCGCCAGGUGGUACAAGUACAAGGCCGGACGGCCCGGCGCCGACGGCAGCGUCAACGGCGUGGAGAUGGCCGACGCCGAGUCGUGCCUCCACUGA